CGGUUAAAAAGCUCGUAGUUGGAUUUCUGUUGAGGGCGUCCGGUCCGUACCACGUACGCGUAUCUGGGUCGCGCUCGGCAUCCUCUCGAAGAACGGUUCUCGCGCUUGAUUGCGUGGUCCGGGUUUCGGGACUUUUACUUUGAGGAAAUUAGAGUGUUCACGGCAGGCAAUUGCCCGGAUACAUUAGCAUGGAAUAAUACUAUAGGAUUUUGGUUCUAUUUUGUUGGUUUCUAGGACUAAAAUAAUGAUUAAUAGGGACAAUUGGGAGCAUUCGUAUCAACACGCUAGAGGUGAAAUUCUUGGAUUGUGUUGCGACGAACUACUGCGAAAGCAUUUGCCAAGGAUGUUUUCAUUGAUCAAGGACGAAAGUAAGGGGAUCGAAGAUGAUUAGAUACCGUCGUAGUCUUUACCACAAACUAUGCCAACUAGAGAUGGGGCAUCGUUCAAUACGACUUGCUCCGCACCUUAUGAGAUAUCAAAGUCUUUGGGUUCCGGGGGGAGUAUGGUCGCAAGUCUGGAACUUAAAGGAAUUGACGGAAGGGCACCACCAGGAGUGGAGCCUGCGGCUUAAUUUGACUCAACACGGGGAAACUCACCAGGUCCAGACAUAAUAAGGAUUGACAGAUUGAUAGCUCUUUCUUGAUUUUAUGGGUGGUGGUGCAUGGCCGUUCUUAGUUCGUGGAGUGAUUUGUCUGCUUAAUUGCGU
rnacentral:rRNA from 1 species